rnacentral:rRNA from 1 species
AAACUGGGAUUAGAUACCCCACUAUGCUUAGCCCUAAACUCAGAUAGUUCCUCGAACAAAUCUAUCCGCCAGAGAACUACUAGCAACAGCUUAAAACUCAAAGGACUUGGCGGUGCUUUACAUCCCUCUAGAGGAGCCUGUUCUAUAAUCGAUAAACCCCGAUACACCUCACCACCUCUCGCUAAAUCAGUCUAUAUACCGCCAUCUUCAGCAAACCCUAAAAAGGAAGAAUAGUAAGCACAAACAUCUUAACAUAAAAAAGUUAGGUCAAGGUGUAACCCAUGAGGUGGGAAGCAAUGGGCUACAUUUUCUAUAUCUAGAACAACCCUUUACGAAAGUCCUUAUGAAAUUAAGAACCAAAGGAGGAUUUAGUAGUAAAUUGAGAAUAGAGUGCUCAAUUGAAUAGGGCCAUGAAGCACGCACACACCGCCCGUCACCC